rnacentral:lncRNA from 1 species
GUGAAGUUCUCUUGCUUACAAAUUUUAUGAGAGACCUCAACAGAAAACUGUUCAUUUUCAGUGUUGCCAGUUUUAAAAAAUUUAAGCUGAUGCGCUUCUGAAUACUUUUCCUUUUUUGGCUUUUUUUUUUUUUUGAGCUCCACUGUCAUAUUUUCUAAAUUGAUCCCAACUCAACUUGUAUUCAUUCCUAGUGAUCUAAGAGUUUACAAAAUAAAGUUGUUUUUCUUCUAAAACAUUCAACUUUUUUUUUUUUUUUUGAGACAGUGUCUUGCUCUGUUGCCCAGGCUGGAGUGCAGUGGUAUGAUCACAGUUCACUGCACUCCAUCCUGGGCAACAGUAGCCUCGACCUCCCAAACUUAAGCAAUCUUCCCACCUAAGCCUUCCAAGUAGCUGGGACUACAGGUGCUCACUACCAUGCCCAGCUAAUUUUUUGAGCUCUCUCUGUGGCUCUUUCCCCAGCUCCACCAGGGGUCUCACUAUGUUGCCCAGGCUGGUCUCAAACUCCUGGGCUCAAGGAGUACAGUGGUGCGAUCAUGGCUCUCCACCUCCCAGGCUCAAGCGAUUCUCCCACCUCAGAUCAUCUAUGAACCUAGUACUGUUUAAAUGCUAGGGAUAUAGCAGGGAAUAAGACAAGGUUUUUUGCUCAUGCAUUUCACAUCUUAGUGGAGGAAGACAGGCCAUAAACAAAUAAAUAAGUAUAUAGUAUCAGCUGGUGAGAAAUGCUAUGAAGAAUAAUGGUGGUGGGUUGGGGGAUGGAGCCCGGGAGGAAGUGAGGGAAGGAACAUUGUGGCCAUCAGGAGGACGGGCAUUCCAGACUGAGUGCCAAGGCCCUGAUUUGGGAAUGUGCUUAGUGUGAUCUAGUAGCAUCAAGGAGGCCAGGGUAGCAGGAGAUGGGGAUGGGAGGGAAGGUCAGAGAGCAGAGCAGGGAUGUUGGGGGGCGGGGGAUGUAUAUGCAUGUUGUAGACCACGUAGGGCCUGGCAGCUCCUGGUGAAGACUUUGGUUUUGGUUUUUUUGGUUUUUUACUGAUGGGGUCUCACUGUGUUGCUCAGGCUGCAUUUGAACUCCUGGACUCAAGCAAUCCUCCUGCCUCAGCCUCCCGAGUAACAGACAAUGAAUGCACUCCCCCCACCUGGCUAAGAUAGGUUUUUACUCUGAGUAGAAUGGAAACCAGUUAAGAUUUCUAAGCUGAGGAGCAACGUGAUCUGACAGAUUUCAAAGGGUUCCUCUGGCUGCUGUGAGGGGAAUGGACUGAAGGGACAAGGGUGGAAGCAGAGAGGGGUGUAGAGGCUGCUGUAGCUAAGUGAGAGAGACAGGAUUGGGCUUGCACCAAGUGGAAGCCACGAGGUGGGGGGAUGCAGUCUGAUUCCAGAUGGAUUUUGAAGGUGGAGCCUGCAGGACGUCCUGAUGGAACUGGAUGUGGGGUGUCAGCAAGAAGCCAGACGGCCAUUUAAUAGUGUUAAUGACUAAGGCUAGUUUCAGAGGAAAGAGAGUAUAGCCCAAUCCCAUUUUUGCUCAAAUAAACAUCAAAUAAGACACACUCCCUGUGCACGGAUCUUUGUGUAUACUAAUCCGAGUCUAUUAGUUGGCUAGGGCUGCCAUCACAAAAUACCACAGACUGGGUGGCUUCAGCAACAGAGAUUUAUUUUCUCAGUUCUGGAGGCCGGAAGUCCAAGAUCAAAAUGCUGUCAGGGCUGCUUUCUGGUGAGGCCUUUCUUCCUGUCCUGUAGACAGCUGCCUUCUCCUAUGUCCUCAUAUGGCCCCUUCUUUGUGCUUGCUUAGGAGAGAAGUGGGAGCUCUCUCGUGUCUCUUUCCCUUCUUAUAAGGACAGCGGUCCUUUUGGCUUUAGGCUGCACCCUUGUGACCUCACUAAAUCUUAAUUAGCUCCUUGUAGGCCCUGCCUCCAAAUACAGUCGAAUUAGGGGUUUAGGGCUUCGCCGUAUGAAUCUGGAGGGACACAAUUCAGUCCAUAACAAUGAAUACAGAGAAAGCUGCAGAAGGACAUCCACAAGCCAUUGCACUCCAGCCUGGGUGACAGAGCAAGACUCUGUUUCAAGAAAAAAAAAAAAAAGAAACCAACUUUCUAGCAAAAGGAUCCAGAACAUACCAUGGUGAAGAGAGUUUCUUUCCUAAACUCCCCUUUCUGCCUAAAAGCAGAGCCUCCCAAAAGAAUGCAACCAUCAUAGAUCCCCUUCCCAGAGGUUUCCCAACCAUGGAAGAGUGACUCCCUUCACCAGAGGGGAAGCCACAAGGCUAUAAAAACUCUCCUAAAUAGACAUGGUCACAAAACUAUCAUAUCUCCCUCAUAUCUAUUUGCCUUAGGGCCCAUUUAUCUUUUCUAGAAGUCGCUGGUUUUCCAGUCUCCUUUCUCUCCAUCCCCUUCUCCUAUUAAGGGUGUAUAUUGUGUCAUAAAAUGUCAGAGCUACCGCCAAAAGACAAAGGUCUUUCAUCUGAGAGCCUGUGAAAAAGAUAUAUAAGCCCCCAAUCCUAAUCACCUCUUUGAGCCACAUUUUUCUGUGAAUUCCCAUGUAUGUAUGUGAGUAAAAUUCUGUUUUUGUUUUGCCAAUCUGUCUUUUGUCAGUUUAAUUCACAGGCCUCCAACACUGAACCUAAGAGAGUGGGGAGAAAGUGUUUCCUUUCUCACAGCUGUCACCUCCUCAGAGGGGUUUUUCCCUGGCUAUUCUAUCUCAACUAGGCCUCUUUCUCCUUUUUGUUUCCCACAGCAUUUACCAUACCUUAUUCUGACUUUAUUUGUCUGUUUACUAGGUUUUGGUCUGCCUUUCAGUAGAAUGUAAGCUGCAUGGAGGCGUAUAAUACAAAUUCAUUAACUACUCAGUGAAUGACUGGAUGAGGAAAUCCGUCAUCCUUGGCUCAGGUAUUUAUUGGUGAGUCUACAAGUGGCAGCUCAGUUCAGCACUCACUCACUGAGAACUUAUUAGGUGUCACGAUGGUGCUCGGCGUUAGGAACACACAGAGGCCCACUCCCUGUCCUCGAGGAGCUUACAGGAAAACAAGCAGCUAUGCUGGGCCCUGGGAGAGGCAGGUAUGAGCAGGAGAACCUUACUCUUCCCUCAAGAAGUUUACUGGUAUAGGAGGCAGGGAAGAGAAAAAGGAAAACACGUGAUAAGGAGCUUGGAAACAAACAUGACUCCAAGUACAGUUAUUUAGUACACAAAUAAAACAGAGAUGGUUAAACUAUUCUCUAGGCCUUUGUUUAGGGAAUAAUUCACAUCAUUCUAAUUACAGGGUUGUGAGAAUAACAACAGUGUUGGAUGGAGCUCAUGGUACUUCUGCUUCAUUUAGACAAAUCUGCCUAAGGAGAGCCCAUCCCCUACAUACACAGACCCGCUGACAGGCAUCGCUGGUUUCUCUUGGAAGCUUUCCAAGUGGCAAGCCUGGCGCCUAGGCUAGUCUUGGAGCCUCUAAAAAGCCUUUCAGGGCUGCCUCCCUACCUCAGUCAGGGCCCCAUUAGCUAUAAAGGCCAGAGAUAUACUGAAAUUACCCCACCCCUCAAAGAGCACGUAAAUAAAAGGGAGAAUUUAUUGAAAUUAUUUCAAUGCACAGGAACCCAAGAGAAACUGAAUAACUAGGCCAGGCCUAGUGUUCUCCGAAAGUGUUCUCAUUUCUUCAGAUUCCUGAGUUUAAAUUUCCAUAUUCCCCUAUUCUCCCCCCAGGUCAGGUGUCCGUGCUGCGGUACAAUCAUCCCACCCCUGUAAAAACAAGGCCCCCUAGGCCAGAGGAGAUAACUCCAAAAGACAACCAGAUGGGUGGAGUGAUCAACCUUUGUGGUUCAUCUGGGACUGAGGGAUUUCAUAGGGAGCAUGGCUUUUAGAGCUAAAACCAGGAACGUUCCAGACAAACCUGGAAAAGUUAGUAAUAAGUUCAGCCAACGUCACAUCCGUUUCAUGCCCAUACAUCAUUAAUUUUUUUUUUUUUUUUGAGAUGGAGUCUCGCUGUGUUGCCAGGCUGGAGUGCAGUGGUGGAAUCUUGGCUCACUGCAGCCCCACCUCAGCCUCCCAAAGUGCUGGGAUUACAGGCGUGAGCCACCGCACCUGGCCCCCUUCAUCAUUAAUUUUAAGCAACACAUUUCUUCAUAUUUAACAUCACUGAAACCAGGAUGUGUUUUAAAAUGAGUGGCGUCCUGCAAUGCGAAGCUGAGUUCUCCUGGAAAUGAUGCACAGCUGCCAGUCACUUCUAGGUCACCACCAACCUGAGACCACAUUAAAUUAAUUUUCAGCUUGACUUUUUCAGACCACACUGACAGCAUGAAUUCAGACCUCAAAUCUGCAUGAGCACAGGCUCGUGGUUCAAAUUGUCAGGAGAGAAUUGUUGUUCCUCCCUCCACAGUGUCAGGAUUGAGACGUGCGCAUUUCCAGCCUGCCACUCCUGUGGGAAGACUUAUUUUCUUACAGCAUCCCAGCUUUUAAGUGGUGUCUCCAUAUUUGGCUUUUUUUUUUCUUGCAUAAUGGUACAUAAAAUAACAGUGCAGCUUACAGUGGAUGGUGUCUCCAGUUGGAUGAAAUACGGGUAAUCCUCAACCCCCACCAGCCGCUAGUGCUGGAAGGAGGCUCAGUUCUGUGGAACCCUGGCUUCUCUGGGUGGGAAGAGAAUGCUGUCCCGGGUACCUAGGGCUGGAUCCUGAGGAUAUAGAAAGAGUUCUCUCUUGGCCCUGAUGAGCUUUUCUCUGAGCUCACUGGCUUGCAGAGCCUGGCAGCCCAUUUGGAAAAGUUCUUCACCAGUCUCUCUAGACAUAUCAGUGUUUAGAUAGCCUUCCUUCCCUACAAACACAAAGCUCAUUUGUUUGAAAUGUUGCAAAACUCCUCCUAACCACUGCCACAUGUAGAAAACCCAUGGAAGCAGAAUUGUAGGAGAAUAAGAAGGAGAGGCAGUGUUUCAACUUGAAAACUGGUAGACAUGCUUUUUUUUUUUUUUUUUUUUUUUUUUUUUUUUUUUUUUGAGACGGAGUCUUGCUCUGUCGCCCAGGCUGGAGUGCAGUGGCGUGAUCUCAGCUCACAGCAACCCUCUGCCUUUCGAGUUCAAGAGAUUCUCCUGCUUCAGCCUCCUAAGUAGCUAGGAUUACAGGUGCACACCAAUACCCCUGGCUAACUUUUUUGUAUUUUUAGUGGAGAUGGGGUUUCACCAUGUUGGCCAGGCUGGUCUCAAACUCCUGGCCUCAGGUGAUCCACCUGCCUCGGCCUCCCAAAGUGCUUGAGCCACCAUGCCCCACCUGGUAGACAUGCUUUCUAACCCCCAGGUUUUCUUUCCCUCCCCCAGGGUGUUCAGCAUUUCCUGAAUAUGUGAUACCCCAUCCCUAUCCUCAGCUCAUUCAGUUGACCUUUCCCCAGUCCCCCACCCAAAGCCACUCACCCUCAGGCUGGCUCACCUGUCCUCAGACCCCAUCGUUUGUCUUUCUGUGUUGGGGCUCAGGACACACCACCCAAAAAUAUUACUGUAGGAGACCCAAAUAUGCCACCCCAAAAUACACUUCAUUGGUAUAUUUUGAGCUGGUUAUUCUGAGAAACUGCAGACAGGGGUAGCUCUGAAAAGCUUUCUUUUUAUAAAAA